UGAAUGGAAAGCGUGGCAAAGAAAGAAGGACGAAAUGGGGGUCGGAAUGAGAAGAAGAAUACCAAUGGAAUAGCGAUUCGAUGUUAAGAAAGAGCAGGAUGGAGCAAGGACCGACAGAAGUAUUCACUAAUGAUGUCUUGGGUACAGUCGCGCAUUAUUUUGUACAGUGGGCCCUGGGCAAGCAUUUCUCCUUUUCCUCUCGCCAAAAAUAAGUUUCUUACCUACAAGUGAUUCUAAGUCACUCAACUAAUCACCUUGAGGUAAGCGAACAUAUGAAAUAUAACGUUCUGGAAUUUUUGGUGCUUGAGUGCGCUUUAGUCGGGUUUGAUACAAUCAUAUGCAAAUUAGCAGAUCUUAAACUAAAAAUCAACAACCCCUCAGAUUCCUGUAUGCGAGUCACUCGCGAGGAACACGACUUUGCAGCUGUGCCCUGGUGUCCUCGGCCUGGUCCUCUGCUUGGACGGGACGUUACCGGACACUUGAUCGUCUGACCAGGGGGACUGAACACAUCGCGAAAACUGGUUUUCUCACGGUAAACCAAAUCAAUCCGGUACAAGAGGGUUGAGUUAGUCGGGUUGGGAAAAGCCGAGCCAGAUGGCCAUGCGAGUUGCGUUGGGGUUGGCGUUAGGUCAGUUGGUUAAAAUUUGCAUAAACAUCAUACCUUCGACAAUUAAAAUCAGUACCGCUAUAAACUGGUCAGACUGGUUCUGUAUCUUAUAACCAGAAUAUGCAGAAAUUCGAGCCCUUUUUAAAUGUCCGAUGUUACUCUUCUUCUUAGCUCUAAGCCUUAUUUUCCGUAGCGCAACUCACCACACGUCCUCUCUCACAUGUGAAUAUAUAAUGUAUGAGCUCUGCACGUCCGCGUGACUUUGUCAAACAAUUUUUCAUUUUCUCAUUUCAAGUUUUACUACGAACCGCCGCAGUUGAAUUUAAAGAAAGUUAGCGCACACACGUAUAUAGGCGAACCUCUUAUGUUUAUUGACUAAAAUUAACGCAGGGGCAAAGUAAAAGUAAAAAGAUAGUAAUUAGAAAAUACAAUGCACUGUUCAAGAUACAAAAAGACGUCUAUGCCAACCACUGGGAAAUGAACAAAAUGGAAACAGCCUCACCUACAGUCUUUCCCUACCCAAUUUGACAUAAAAUAAAAUCUUAUCGAGAGGUCGAAUAAAUAGAAGAAGAAAUAUA